rnacentral:rRNA from 1 species
UACAGAGGUGGCAAGCGUUGUUCGGAAUUACUGGGCGUAAAGCGCACGUAGGCGGCUUUGUAAGUUAGUGGUGAAAGCCCGGAGCUCAACUCCGGAAUUGCCUUUAAGACUGCAUCGCUAGAAUUGUGGAGAGGUGAGUGGAAUUCCGAGUGUAGAGGUGAAAUUCGUAGAUAUUCGGAAGAACACCAGUGGCGAAGGCGACUCACUGGACACAUAUUGACGCUGAGGUGCGAAAGCGUGGAGAGCAAACAGG